GCCCGCGGACCCAGCGGGGCCGGAGAAGACUUCUGGGAAAUGUUUGGGUCUUAAUUUUCAUUUUAUUGAUCUUGUUUUGCUUUUGUAGCGUUAAAAUUUAGAUUCAUUAAAUGCACAAUUCUCAAGGUAUCGUAUGAGCCUGACACACAGAAAGUGAAGUGAUACAAAUAAAGCAAGUAAGAGUCAUGAGACAAAAUAAUGGAGGUUGGCAAAGGGAAGAAGGAAAACAAACUUUAAGGGAGCAAAGCUGGAAGCAGAGUGACCAGCUCCUCCCAUCAACAGUGAGGUCUCUUUUCCCUCCGCUUGAAUCUGCCUGGUCUUGGGACUUUGCUAUUGGCAACAGAAAUGAUAGUGUGUCAAUUUUGAGCCCAGGCUUCAAGACUCUUGCACACUUCUGCUCUCAGACCCCUGUAACCACAUGUCAACGAGCUCAGGCUAAUGUGGUGGAAGAUGAGUGACCAUAGAGAAAGCCCAGCUGAAGCCAUCCUAGAUCAGCAGACCCGCCAGCUGACUGAAGACACAUACAAAAGCCAGUCAAGACCAAGACCAAUUGGGCAGGCAGUGUCUCUAUGUUAGAGGUAUUGUUUCAGGUAAACGGGCAGGGUCUGUGCUUGCUUAAGCCUGGCACUGACAAGUACUGCCCAGCCAAAAUGGAAAGUGUGUGGCAGGAAGAGGGAGGCUUGAGGAGGAAAAGGUAUGAAAUAGUCAUUAUAUCAAUGAGCAAGAAUGCCAAAGAAACCUGUUCACUAAUGUAUAAAUAAAGUUGAGGCUGAUGAUUGUGCUUUUAUGGUGACAUCUAUUGCGGUUAUUGAUUUCUUUCACGAACCUUUAGCAGGAAGCAUGUAGUAGGCACAACCCAAGAGUUGAGUUUGUCCAGAUUGGGGUCUUGCUAGGUAAUGAGUUAGCAAACUAUUGCUUGCAGGAAAAAUCUGGCCAUGGCUUGUUUUUAUACAGGCCACAAGCUAAUAACUGUUUCAACAUUUUUAAAGUGUUAUAGAAAAAAACAAAGACUAUACAACAGAAACUGCAUAAAGCUCAUAAAGUCUAAAAUAUUUCCCAUCUGGCCCUUAAAGGAAAAGGU